rnacentral:siRNA from 1 species
GGGCCUGGCUCAACCCGC